AGUUGGGAACUCUAGCGAAACUGCCGGUGCAAACCGUGAGGAAGGUGGGGAUGACGUCAAAUCAUCACGGCCCUUACGUUCUGGGCUACACACGUGCUACAAUGGCCGGUACAGAAAGCAGCCACUAUGCGAAUAGGAGCUAAUCUUUAAAGCCGGUCUCAGUUCGGAUCGCAGUCUGCAACUCGACUGCGUGAAGCUGGAAUCGCUAGUAAUCGGAUAUCAGCCAUGAUCCGGUGAAUACGUUCCCGGGCCUUGUACACACCGCCCGUCAAGCCAUGGAAGCUGGGGGUACCUAAAGUCGGUGACCGAAAGGAGCCGCCUAGGGUAAAACUAGUAACUGGGGCUAAGUCGUAACAAGGUAGCCGUACCGGAAGGUGCGGCUGGAAUACCUCCUUUCUAGAGAAAGACGACUUGACUAUAGCAUCAAUCCUUUGCGUUUGCUUGCUGUCAUUUUUUAAAUAACCCUUAAGAUAGAAUCUCGAAUAGAGUCUCGUAGCUCAGCCGGUUAGAGCGCUACACUGAUAAUGUAGAGGUCGGCAGUUCGAGUCUGCCCGAGACUACUAAAUUCCAUUUCGGAAAAAAAGGGGGAUUAGCUCAGCUGGCUAGAGCGCCUGCCUUGCACGCAGGAGGUCAUCGGUUCGACUCCGAUAUUCUCCACAACUUCUUAAUUUAAAUUAAGAAUAAGAGUUCAUUGACAUAUUGAAAAUAUCAAGUACAAUUCAUAAAUUAUUCAGUUAUCCAAUUUAAUAGUUUUAUGAAAUUGUACAGAGUUAACGUAAAUAGGUAUUUAAUACUGUAAUUAUUAAAUACCAAAUAAUUUUACAAUUUAAGAAAGAGUUAAGAGUUACUUGUAACUUUUUAAUAAGUUACAAUAGGCUAAUUAAGAGCGUAAGGGGAAUGCCUUGGCUCUCAGAGGCGAUGAAGGACGUGAUAAGCUGCGAUAAGCU
rnacentral:sRNA from 1 species